UACCCGCAGCACAAGUGGUGGUCAUUAUUAUUGGGCCUAAAGCGUCCGUAGCUGGCCUGUUAGAUGCCUGGGUAAAUCGAUGCGCUCAACGUAUCGAACUCCGGGUAAACCGGCAGGCUCGAGACCGGGAGAGGUGUAGGCUACUCGCGGGGUAGGGGUAAAAUCCUGUAAUCCUGCGGGGAGGACCAGUGGCGAAGGCGCUACACUAGAACGGCUCUGACAGUGAGGGACGAAGCCCUGGGGCGCAAACCGG
rnacentral:rRNA from 1 species